UAGGUACUCCCUCCGUCCUGAAUUACUUGUCGCAGAAAUGGAUGUAUCUAGAACUAAAAAAUGUCUACAUACAUCCAUUUCUACGACAAGUAAUUCCGAACGGAGGGAGUACGUA
rnacentral:pre_miRNA from 1 species